GGCCGGCCGCCCGCGAGCACUUGGGGGCGGGCCGGGCGGCGAAGUGGGGCCCGUCCUCCCAGGCUGGGGUAAGGACAGCUGGGGUUUUCGUUGGGUGGUUCCCCCUCUUCCUGAUUUCGCACAUGCAAAUCUCCGCCCCCGCGCCGGCGGGCGGCGCAGCGCGGGCGUCCCGGAGCGCCCUCGAGGGGAAGUGCGGAAGCUGCAGCGGCCUCUGCGCGCCUGUAAUUAAGAAACUUGCUGAACCCUUUUUUCAAAGAUCCAGUCCACAUCUGAAAAGUGAAAAUAUUUCACUUGUGCAGGAUAAACUUAAUUAGAAAAAAAGGAAGAUUACAAGACAAGGUGAUGGAUGGACUAAAAACAACAACAAAUGGUGGUGGAGAGGACAGGGCUGUCUGGUGGAGAGAAGGCUGGAGGACCCGGUGUGCUGAUGGCUGACAGCAAGAGUGGACUUCGAGGACAUGCCUCUGAGGGCCUGUGAAGCAGAAAUCAGCGGCUGCUUGUCCAGAUCUAAAGGUGUUUCCUGCGGGCCAGUUUGGCCUUGCUUGCAGGUACCUCUGCGGACCACAACGCUGAACCGAGACACCACCUCCGGACACGCACAUGGGGCCGGCUCUUCAGCUACACAUCAAACACCAAGUCUGCUGCCCAUGCUGGUUGCCGAGUGAGGUUUGGGCGUUGUAAAAAUGCAAAUUUGGUCCCAGGAUCAUUCAUCUGAGUUCCACUCAGAUUGGAAAGUUACAAGUACAAACUCACCUUUUUCUUCUUCUGAAGAAUCUCUGCGGGAAGGUAGUG